ACGCACGCUGGCGGCAUGCCUCACACCUGCAAGUCGAACGAGACCUUCGGGUCUAGUGGCGCACGGGUGCGUAACGCGUGGGAACCUGCCCUUAGGUUCGGAAUAACUCCCCGAAAGGGGUGCUAAUACCGGAUAAUGUCUUCGGACCAAAGAUUUAUCGCCUUUGGAUGGGCCCGCGUUGGAUUAGCUAGUUGGUAGGGUAAAAGCCUACCAAGGCGACGAUCCAUAGCUGGUCUGAGGGGAUGAUCAGCCACACUGGGACUGAGACACGGCCCAGACUCCUACGGGAGGCAGCAGUGGGGAAUAUUGGACAAUGGGCGAAAGCCUGAUCCAGCAAUGCCGCGUGAGUGAUGAAGGCCUUAGGGUUGUAAAGCUCUUUUACCCGGGAUGAUAAUGACAGUACCGGGAGAAUAAGCUCCGGCUAACUCCGUG
rnacentral:rRNA from 1 species